rnacentral:rRNA from 1 species
ACUCAAAGGAAUAGACGGGGACCCGCACAAGCAGCGGAGCAUGUGGUUUAAUUCGAAGCAACGCGAAGAACCUUACCAGGGCUUGACAUCCUCUUGACAGAUGGGUAACGCCAUCCUUCUUCGGACAAGAGAGACAGGUGGUGCAUGGUUGUCGUCAGCUCGUGUCGUGAGAUGUUGGGUUAAGUCCCGCAACGAGCGCAACCCUUGUCUUUAGUUGCCAUCAGGUUAUGCUGGGCACUCUAAAGAGACUGCCGGGGACAACUCGGAGGAAGGUGGGGAUGACGUCAAAUCAUCAUGCCCCUUAUGUUCUGGGCUACACACGUGCUACAAUGGCCGGUACAAUGGGAUGCAAUACGGCGACGUGGAGCAAAUCACCAAAACCGGUCCCAGUUCGGAUCGCAGGCUGAAACCCGCCUGCGUGAAGUCGGAGUUGCUAGUAAUCGCAGAUCAGAAUGCUGCGGUGAAUACGUUCCCGGGUCUUGUACACACCGCCCGU